rnacentral:rRNA from 1 species
CACGUAGGGUGCGAGCGUUGUCCGGAAUUAUUGGGCGUAAAGAGCUCGUAGGCGGUGUGUCGCGUCGGCCGUGAAAACCUGCAGCUUAACUGUGGGCUUGCGGUCGAUACGGGCAUCACUGGAGUUCGGCAGGGGAGACUGGAAUUCCUGGUGUAGCGGUGAAAUGCGCAGAUAUCAGGAGGAACACCGAUGGCGAAGGCAGGUCUCUGGGCCGCUACUGACGCUGAGAAGCGAAAGCAUGGGGAGCGAACAGG